GGAUUUGCACUGGGCGUGGCUUCAAGGGGCGGGCCCUCAGGUGGGCGGUGCCUUCGGUCCCGGAGUCCGUGGGGGCGGGGCCUCUAAAGGGCUCGGCUAUCAUUGGGUGGAGAUUUGGGGGCGGGGAAUGUUGGGCGUGGCUACUGGGUUCCGGAGCCGCGUUUGCGCUGGGCGCGGCCUCCAUAAAGCUGUGAGGGCGGGGCACCUGGGGCGCGGCUGCAGGGUGGUCCUCCAAUGGGUGCGGCUCUGGGGCGGGGCUUGCGUACGGCGGGGCCUCCAUAAAGCGGCUCAGCGCCGGCACCGCCUCCCCGUCCGCGCCGAAUAUGUUCGUGGGGCGGUCGCCCGCCCGCGGGCUCCUGCUGCUGCUGCUGUCGUUCCUGCUGCUGCCGCAGGUGGCGCUGGGCUUCGCAGACGGCAGCUGCGACCCCUUGGACCAGUAAGUCGUGGGGAGGGAGCAGGGCUCCGCCCCGCCCUGUGGGGAGGCUCGGGAGGGCCGGGCGGCCGGCCGGUGCCCCGCCUGCUCCAGGUGCCGCCCUCCCCGCAGGUGCCCGCCCCAGGCCCGCUGGAGCAGCCUGUGGCACGUGGGGUAAGUGGAGGGCGCGGCGCGGAGGGUGCCCCACGGUUCUCUCCGGGGCCAGGCCCACCAGACCCCACCCUGCCUGGCUCCAAGGCUGGAGUCGCCUGCACUGUUCCUCACCCCUGCCGCUGGCGGGAAGGCGCUGGGGCCCUCAGCCUACUCCUGCCCCCAGGACCAUGGGCAGCCUCCCAUGUGGGUCUUGCCCCAGACCCGCACAGCUCGGGCCACUCGGGCCCUUGGCAGGUCCUCCCUUCAUAG
rnacentral:lncRNA from 1 species